rnacentral:rRNA from 1 species
CCCUUAGACGUUCUGGGCCGCACGCGCGCUACACUGACACAGGCAACGAGCUUUCCUUUACCGAGAGGUAUGGGUAAUCUUUUGAAACUGUGUCGUGCUGGGGAUAGAUCCUUGCAAUUUUUGAUCUUAAACGAGGAAUUCCUAGUAAGCGCGAGUCAUCAACUCGCGUUGAUUACGUCCCUGCCCUUUGUACACACCGCCCGUCGCUACUACCGAUUGAAUGGCUUAGUGAGGCCUCAGGAUCCGCGCUUAAUGUGUGGAGAAUUUGGACAAACUACGUCAUUUAGAGGAAGUAAAAGUCGUAACA